GAUGAAGAACGUAGUGAAAUGCGAUAAGUAAUGUGAAUUGCAGAAUUCAGUGAAUCAUCGAAUCUUUGAACGCAUCUUGCGCUCCUUGGUAUUCCUUGGAGCAUGCCUGUUUGAGUAUCAUGAGCAAAUCUCAAAGUCAAUUCCUUUUAUUGAUUCAAUUGGUUUUGCUUUGGACUUGGAGGCCUUGCAGAUUUCACAGUCUGCUCCUCUUAAAUGCAUUAGCUGGAUCUCAGUAAUUAUGCUUGGUUCCACUCGGCGUGAUAAGUAUCACUCGCUGAGGACACUGUUAAAAAGGUGGCCAGGAAAAUACUGAUUGAACCGCUUCUAACGGUCUAUUAAGUUAGACAAUUACCCUUAAGUUUGAUCUCAAAUCAGGUAGGACUACCCGCUGAACUUAAGCAUAUCAAUAAGCGGAGGA
rnacentral:misc_RNA from 1 species